GCGUAGCUCAGUCGGUAGAGCAUCUGACUUUUAAUCAGAGGGCCGAGGGUUCAAGUCCCUCCGCG
rnacentral:tRNA from 1 species